CAAAGACUGAUGUGCACUCUUACCUCCUGUCUGUGAUGGGCACCUCACAAGUAGUUAACACAAGCACGGCCCUGCUGAGCCUGGACCCAUGGUUGUAAAGGGUGCCUUAUGAGAUUUGGGCUUAAAGGUAUAUGGUUUCUUUGAUCUUGUAAAAUCUGCAUCAGGCCAUGGAAGGAAACAUUUGACUUCAGGACUUCUGUUGUCCAGGUAUCAAGCAACACUCAUAUCCAGGCUGAAUAAAUCCUUCGACGGCAUUCUUUGCGCGUGGCUGUUUGAUGUGCUUCCAGCAGCUUCAAACACAGGAGGCAUCCAAACUGUAAAGAGCCAAAACGGCCGAAACUCCACCGUGGCAGGAGCCUUGAACAGCAGCGGGGCAGGCUGGCAGCGCCUUGCAGGACCAAAGAUGCUCACCCAGCAGGCAAGGAGACAGCUGAAUCCCUCUGCUCUCCCGUGACGUGGCAGUGCUGGGAGUGCCUUUCUUAGCGUGGACUUUAUUAAGCUGCUCUAAACCAACAAGCCAAGCUCCCCACCAGCAUUCGACCGCUGCGCCAAGAGGAAAAUAAUGAGGUUAAAAGCACUGCACAGCAGAAACAUAUGGGACUACAAAGAGGUUGGGAUUGCCAGAGAGUCCAGCACGGUCAUAUCAGGGUGCUAGGGAUGGUGCUACUGCAGUGUUUGUUGAGGCUGGUGGAGGCGAUAUUUGGCUGGUGGCCGUGAGCACCUUCCUUGGACAGAAAGCGAUACAUCUGAUCAGCUUUGGCCACUUCUGAGUGCCACAGGAGCCUGGGGAGCCCAGCUUUCUCCUUUGCUUUGUCCUCUGACUUCAGAGCGUGGCUUUCCUGUUUAGUUCCCUUCUGUGUUUAUAACGGGCCAAACUGCCCACAUACUGGGUGAGGAUGCUUCUGAGUGGAGAGAUUUAGGAGUUUUGAAUAAAGCAGCUCUUGUUAAAAAUGCUGAUUUGUCAAAGACAACUUUUUAUUUCCCAUAAGAACGUGGGCAUUUAUUUUAUUUGAUUUGAUAAAAGUGUUUAUAGGAAGCAUCUCUUCAAACCCAGAAGACUAAAAGCAGACCCUCGCCAAGGACGAGAGAAUUUGAGGAUGAGUGAAGAGAGUCAUUGUUCCUUGCUGUUUGUCCCAGACUCUUUCUUCAUUUCUCAUGCCUGCAUAAUGGGAAGUGCAUGAGGUUUGCUACUGCCCCUGCUGAACUGUGGUGCGGAUAGACUUUGUCUUCCUCAGCUAGCAUUCUGUCACCUUUCAAGAGGGAAAAAUUCAUUUUAAAAACAAAGAUCCCAAGUAAGAAACCUCAAAUAAUUGUAGGAAACCACCACAGAGGUAUACAAUAUCCAGCUGAAGACCUUGUUGAAAACCGAACAGAUUAUGCUUCUUAUAUGUGGUUAAACUGUGCCAUUAAUGUUAAAAACUGUUCAAAGCACAAAAUAAAUUCUGAUUUUUUUUUCUGUCAAA